AACACACCGCAAAACAGAAGGGAGAGAGCAAAAUUAUGUCCCUGCUUGUCCUUUUUUGAAUAAAGUUCUGACUCUGCACCCAGCAAAGUGCUUGGAAAAUUACAGCUACUGCUGGGGAAACAUUAUCUUGUUCAGCCAGCAAGUAAGAGUUGCUGCAGACAACAGAUGGGAUUUCACAAGGGAGAUCAACAGUUGCUCCAGCACUCUCUUCAGGAAAGCUACCUUCCCUCUGCGGGAUCUCGGGCGAUCACCCACACAGAAAUGUAAAAGUAGUUCGGCUCCAAUGGCAAGGGAAAGAAAAUAAAGACCCCCUGGGGUUCAAGCAGCUGAGGAGUCGAGGAUCAGAGAGAGUGUAUGAAUCACUCAAGAAGAGAUGAUUCUUCUCCUCUGUGAAAAUCUGUCAUUCAAGCCUUCACUCAAGAAAAAAAGGUGGUUUCUCUCUCCAGCUCCAGUGUCCAGCUCUGAAACCCACCCAAGUUUUAGAGCCUUCCAAGGUGCAUCUCAGAGUUGCUAAUCCAGAAGAAGCAGCGCAGGGAAGAUCUAGUGCUCCUCCUAGCCAGGAAGAUCCAGUCUCUGCUUGAAGGAACUGACUGUCUCCUAUGAGAUAUAUUACAUGUGGCUGCUCUGUCUCUCA